rnacentral:rRNA from 1 species
GAUGAACGCUGGCGGCGUGCCUAAUACAUGCAAGUCGAGCGAACGGACGAGAAGCUUGCUUUUCUGAUGUUAGCGGCGGACGGGUGAGUAACACGUGGAUAACCUACCUAUAAGACUGGGAUAACUUCGGGAAACCGGAGCUAAUACCGGAUAAUAUUUUGAACCGCAUGGUUCAAAAGUGAAAGACGGUCUUGCUGUCACUUAUAGAUGGAUCCGCGCUGCAUUAGCUAGUUGGUAAGGUAACGGCUUACCAAGGCAACGAUGCAUAGCCGACCUGAGAGGGUGAUCGGCCACACUGGAACUGAGACACGGUCCAGACUCCUACGGGAGGCAGCAGUAGGGAAUCUUCCGCAAUGGGCGAAAGCCUGACGGAGCAACGCCGCGUGAGUGAUGAAGGUCUUCGGAUCGUAAAACUCUGUUAUUAGGGAAGAACAUAUGUGUAAGUAACUGUGCACAUCUUGGCUGUACCUAAUCAGAAAGCCACGGCUAACUACGUG